rnacentral:rRNA from 1 species
AUGACUAGGGAUAACCUUAGGAAGAGACACAUCAUCAAACCCCUUAAUUGUGUUUACUGCUUGGAACAAGAGUCUUGUUCUCACCUAUUUUUUGAAUGUAUAGUUGCUAAACAUCUCUGGGCCCACAUUGAGGAAUAUUUCUCUAGUCAGAUUGGCUCAUCCUUCGAAUCUGUCGCCAGAUUCUGGAUUGCUACCAAAAAGUGCUUAGUUUUAAACACUGUUAGCUCAGCUGUCCUUUGGUGCCUCUGGAAAUAUAGAAAUGCUAUGAUUUUCAGUAACACCUCCUGGAUUUCCAUUCCGCAGGUCUUGAGGUUGAUCAAGAACAUGGUGAGGAACUGGGCGAUUCUCUCCUCCGGUUCGGACAAGGACAAGUUGAUGAGCUUCGUGGAAACCCUAACAAGAUCCCUCCAGAAACCGUUGGCGAUCACUUGUGGCUGA